rnacentral:lncRNA from 1 species
AGACCCAGCACCCAACCUUUACCAGUGCCCCCGACAGCCUUGCUGAGCAAAGGAACUUCUCAGAGAGAGAGAAAAAAAAAAGGCCCUGGGAAUGUUAAACCCAGUCUGUGAAACAGAAGUCCUGCUUCUCUCCAUGGAGUGGCAGCGUAACAGUCACCAUUUUUCGCCACAGUAGGAAAGAAAGAACAACCAUGAGAGGGUUGGUGCUGUGACUCUUCCUGCAGAACCUUCAUGACAGCUCUAGGAGGUGGGGAAACCGAGGCCUGGAGAGGUGGAGUGACUUGCCCACGGUGACAGAAGAGGCAGGGUCAAAGUUUGAACUCAGGAGCUGGGGACACUUGUUGGCUGCCUACCCAGCAGCCAUUCCUUCUAACAAUCCCCAGAUCUCCUUCUAAGUACCUACCACCACCCCCCGACCACAGCCAGCAUGCUUGGAGGGGAGCCCCCUCAACUCCAAGGAGGGCUCUGAUGGGCUGGAACCAGAUAAUGCCUCCCAUUCCCUUGGCCACAGGCAUUGGUUCAGGGGUAGUCGUGUGACCCAAGACUGUCCAAUGAGAACAACUGCCCAAUGGACUCCUGGAUGGAUAUUGGAAUAUGUCCCCUCCUAUAGCGGAAUGAGAAGCAUGUGCCAUGCGCUCAGGGUAACACUGACUUGGGAACCUAUGAAGAGGACAGAGGUCCUCGAAAGCUUCACCCAGCUCCUUGACAGCCUGCACCACUCUGAAGAUUCAGCUCUGCUCACACCAGCCAACAAGCUCCCUUGUUAUCUAAGUCAGGUGGAGGCUUGGAGUUGGGUUUCCUUUCCUGCAGCUAGAAACGUUCUGAAACUGCAGUACUUCUGGAUUCCAAAGCUUGAGUCCUUUCCCUAGCAUAAGGUGCUUCUCUGCAUAUCCAUAUUCCAAAAGUCGAACACUUUGGCACCAUUUUCCUCUAUGUUUUGAGUUCCAGACACCAGGUUUACAAAGGAUUGCUGCAUGACAACUUUGCUUGAGGUUUUGCACCUUUCUCUACUCUUCUACUCCCAAACACCAAGAUAAAAUGCCACCAUCGUCACCCUUUGGAAUGCCCUAUCUAGACACUUCUCCUCCCUCCAGCUGAGCAUACAGCUGAGGGAAGGAGAGGAUGCGGGGGAAAGGCGGCCACCCUGCUCAGUCCCUGGAAGGCCACUGGCACAGCCGGAGGAGCCAGGCCAGCCGCCAGCCCCUGCCCCUGCCAGGGUUUGCAUUUCCUUACCCAGGGAUGACUCAGAUGCCGAGGAGGACUGGUUGACACUGAAGGUCAUAUCUGAAUCACUAUCGUCCUGGGAGCCGCUGAGGGACCCUGAUGGAGUCGUGGUCGCAGGGCUGGACUGCAGGGUACCUGAGGCCCAAAGAGAUUCCAUCAGGGGCAGUGGAAGGUUGGACCUGCCCUGCUAGUCCAUGGUUCUUCACUGCUUUGCACCUUAGCUUUCCCGUCUAACGAGAGGACCAGAGAAACAGCCCUGGGAUGUUCUUUUGGGAUACUAAUGUGCCCUCCCUCAUAGGAUAAGGGCCAGGCCAACAGGAACUUCCACUCUCUGGUCUCAAUAGUGGUGGUUCAGGAAAGGGCACAUAACCCCCGUAAGGCCCGAGACCCAAUUCUGCAACUUUUACUGGAACUACUAGGAAAGAAGGAACUCAUUCCAUUCAUUGGGAAGGAAGCCUGGAGCUGGAAGAGCCAACCCGUGGCAAAGGCCUGCCUGAGAGUGAUGCCAACACAGAGGCAAGCAGAGCUUUGAGUUGGAAAGAGAGGUAGGAUCCUGCUGAUAUCCUUCCAGUACCUAGAUCCAGCUAUUCCUGAACUCACCCAAUAUACUCCCAGACAUUUCCUUUUUUGCUUAGGGCACUUUGAGUGGGGUUUUGCCCCUUGCGAGAAGAUCCCUGACUACUAGUGCUCAACAUGGAUGAGUUUUCUUCCCCAAGCUUGCUGUUGGUUCAGACAAUAACAGCUUGUUUCUUAGGAUGAAAAGAUGCCCCUUCCCUUGCCCUACCUGAGGAUGAAUGGACAGAUAAUGGGCACUUCGUCUCGGGCUGAAAUGAUGACUAUGUCUGAUGGUUCCUCAAAAACACAAAACAACACAACUUCCCCCUCCCCAAAAAACACUCUGACCAAAUAACCACACUGCCACCCGGCUCCUCCUCUGCCCUCAUGAAGACAGCAACAGCUGCUGUUGUUACUGUUACCACUGAUUAAACCAGUGUCAGGCCCCGCUCAAGGCAUUAUAUGCACAUGAUUUCAUCCUCAUGACAACCCCAUGAAGCAGGUAUCACUCUCUUUCUACAGAAGGAAACAGGCUCAGGAGAAUCUGUGAUUUGUCCAGCAUCUUCAAAGCUGACCAGCGAUGUGACCCUGGGAUAGUCAUUUAAUCUCUCUGUGCUCAUUAUCUUAUCUGUAGGUGGGGAUAAUGAUACUGAUUUCAAUAGAGUCAAAGGGAGGAUAAAAUUCAAUGAGGGAACAUAUGAGCUGUUGACUGCUUCUUAUUGCUUGGACUCUACUUUUUGAGCCAUGAAGUUGGAGCCAGGCUCUCUGGGAAGCCUUCUCUGAACAUCUCCUUCACUCCACCAAGCUGGGAGAGGAGCCCCCGGCUGUAGCAAAUGUCACACCGUGCAACUCUCCUUUAGGGUGUCUGUGAGCUCCUAACCGGCAUGGAGUGUGUCCUGUCCUCUGCUGGCCCUAUCCUGGUGCCCAGGGCCCGGCCCACAGCUGGUGGCUGCUCCUGCCUAUUUGUGGCAUGAAUGAAGGCAAAAAUUAUCUCAAAAUAGGAUGGUUCAGGCCUCCAUUCCACUUUCUGUGGACGAUACUAUUCUUAUUUCCUCUUUCAUGUGCAGUCGAAUUUAUUUUUUCCCUACACUUACUGUGCAUUACAUGUUAAAAACACCCUAAUGUAACAAAUCGUAACAACGGAACUAAAAAUCGCACCGACCAUUUACCGAGGGGAUAUAGCCUGCCAAGCUCGGAGAUAAGCCGGUUACCUAUCUAGGUCGGUGGUUUACAAAAUGUGGUCCAGAGAGCCGCAACGUCAGCAUCUCCGGGCACUUGUCGGAAAUGC